AGUGACAAACAGCAGUGAUGGCACAGCAAGGCACAGUGACAAACAGCAGUGGUGGCACAGCUCAAGGCACAGUGACAAACAGCAGUGAUGGCACAGCAAGGCACAGUGACAAACAGCAGUGGUGGCACAGCUCAAGGCACAGUGACAAACAGCAGUGGUGGCACAGCAGUGCAGCAAGGCACAGUGACAAACAGCAGUGAUGGCACAGCAAGGCACAGUGACAAACAGCAGUGAUGGCACAGCAAGGCACAGUGACAAACAGCAGUGGUGGCACAGCUCAAGGCACAGUGACAAACAGCAGUGAUGGCACAGCACAGGCACAGUGACAAACAGCAGUGAUGGCACAGCAAGGCACAGUGACAAACAGCAGUGAUGGCACAGCACAGGCACAGUGACAAACAGCAGUGGUGGCACAGCUCAAGGCACAGUGACAAACAGCAGUGGUGGCACAGCAGUGCAGCAAGGCACAGCGACAAACAGCAGUGAUGGCACAGCAGUGCAGCAAGGCACAGUGACAAACAGCAGUGAUGGCACAGCAAGGCACAGUGACAAACAGCAGUGAUGGCACAGCUCAAGGCACAGUGACAAACAGCAGUGGUGGCACAGCAGUGCAGCAAGGCACAGUGACAAACAGCAGUGAUGGCACAGCUCAAGGCACAGUGACAAACAGCAGUGGUGGCACAGCACAGGCACAGUGACAAACAGCAGUGAUGGCACAGCAGUGCAGCAAGGCACAGUGACAAACAGCAGUGGUGGCACAGCUCAAGGCACAGUGACAAACAGCAGUGAUGGCACAGCAGUGCAGCAAGGCACAGUGACAAACAGCAGUGAUGGCACAGCAAGGCACAGUGACAAACAGCAGUGAUGGCACAGCUCAAGGCACAGUGACAAACAGCAGUGGUGGCACAGCAGUGCAGCAAGGCACAGUGACAAACAGCAGUGAUGGCACAGCACAGGCACAGCAAGGCACAGUGACAAACAGCAGUGAUGGCACAGAAAGCAGGACCACGUGCCAAUUCAUAGGAAAUGUGCCAUCCUUUCUCUGUGCUAUCACCACCGAAGACAAUAAAGAGUAACUCAGAGCACAAAAAUACAUUUUUAUAAAAAUGAAACCAUGGGUGUUGGCACAGCACCUUAUCUGCUCUGUGUGAGUAUGGAAUCAUUUGGAUUGCCUCAGUGGACAACCUAAGAUCCUUUAUUACAUUUAUGCAGUUGGCUUCUUGAGUACAGCUUUGAGAACACAGCCCAGUAAAUCAUCAGCGAAUGGUGUUCAGGGAUAUAUUUAAUGUGUUUGGAUCCAUGGACAUGAAAGUCAAAUCAAAGGUUCUGAGGAGGCAGCAGAGGUUAUGCCCUAUUUCAAAGAAUCAUGCAGCUGCCUAACACCUCUCCAGCCCUCUUGGAGGCAGACGCACUCCUUCUGGAGCCAGCUACACAGAAGGUCUAAUCAAAUGGCUUAAUGGAUUCCCAUGGAGAGAAGGGAGUAGGUUACUGUAGACCACUGGACAGACAUGGCCGCUUUCAGCAAUGCGGUACACCAUAAUCAGAAAAGAACUGUGCUGCAGUUGUCCUGUUAUUUCAGAAACCUUUCUGAAUCCCUCUUUUGAUGACAGGCUAAUGAUAUGUGAACAGAGAGCUGAGAACAUCACGUGCUGCAAUAUACAGAAAGAUACUGCCCAACCCUCAAGCUUCAUUUUGUCCCUUUUCUCAAAAACAGACACAUGAUUCCCCUUUA